rnacentral:rRNA from 1 species
AAAAAAGAAAAGUAGCCCUUCGGGGUAACCUCCCACCCUUUGUUUAUUUAUACCUUUGUUGCUUUGGCAGACCCGGCUUCGGGCCACCGGCUCCGGCUGGUCAGUGUCUGCCAGAGGACCUAAAACUCUGUUUGUUAAUAUUGUCAUGAGUACUAUAUAAUAGUUAAAACUUUCAACAACGGAUCUCUUGGUUCUGGCAUCGAUGAAGAACGCAGCAAAAUGCGAUAAGUAAUGUGAAUUGCAUAAUUCAGUGAAUCAUCGAAUCUUUGAACGCACAUUGCGCCCUCUGGUAUUCCGGGGGGCAUGCCUGUUCGAGCGUCGUUACAACCCUCAAGCUUUGCUUGGGAUUGGACAUUGCCAGUUUCUGGCAGGUCUUAAAAUCAGAGGCGGUGCCAUUUGGCUUCCAGCGUAGUAAUUCUUCUCGCUUUGGAGAUCCAAGUGGUUACUUGCCAGUAACCCCCAAUUUUUUCAGGUUGACCUCGGAUCAGGUAGGGAUACCCGCUGAACUUAAG